rnacentral:rRNA from 1 species
CGCGGGGCAACCUGGCGGCGAGCGGCGAACGGGUGCGUAACACAUCGGAACAUGUCCAUUCGUGGGGGAUAGCCCGGCGAAAGCCGGAUUAAUACCGCAUGAGCCCGAGAGGGGAAAGUGGGGGACUCGCAAGAGCCUCACGCGGAUGGGUUGGCCGAUGUCCGAUUAGCUAGUUGGCGGGGUAAGAGCCCACCAAGGCGAUGAUCGGUAGCUGGUCUGAGAGGAUGAUCAGCCACACUGGGACUGAGACACGGCCCAGACUCCUACGGGAGGCAGCAGUGGGGAAUUUUGGACAAUGGGGGCAACCCUGAUCCAGCCAUUCCGCGUGAGUGAAGAAGGCCUUCGGG